GACGUAGGGCGCAAGCGUUGUCCGGAUUUAUUGGGCGUAAAGAGCUCGUAGGCGGCUUGUUGCGUCGACUGUGAAAAACCACGUCUCAACCGUGGGACUGCAGUCGAUACGGGCAGGCUAGAGUUCGGUAGGGGAGACUGGAAUUCCUGGUGUAGCGGUGAAAUGCGCAGAUAUCAGGAGGAACACCGGUGGCGAAGGCGGCGACCUGGGUCGAGACUGACGCUGAGGCGCGAAAGCGUGGGGAGCAAACAGG
rnacentral:rRNA from 1 species